UACGUAGGAGGCAAGCGUUGUCCGGAGUUACUGGGCGUAAAGGGCCCGCAGGCGGUGGAGUAAGUUUGGAGUGACAGUUCCCAGCUUAACCGGGAAAGGACUUCGAAAACUGCUCGACUUGAGGACUGGAGAGGAAGGCGGAAUUCCGGGUGGAGCGGUGAAAUGCGGUAGAGAUCCGGAGGAACACCGACGGCGAAGGCAGCCGU
rnacentral:rRNA from 1 species